ensembl:lncRNA
GGGUUUGUCUGUGUGUGUGUGUGUGUGUGUGUGUGUGUGUGUGUGUGUGUGUGUGUGUGUGUGUGUGUGUGUGUGUGUGUGUGUGUGUGUGUGUGUGUGUGUGUGUGUGUGUGUGUGUGUGUGUGUGUGGGUUUGUGUGUGUGUGUGUGUGUUUGUGUGUGUGUGUGUGUGUGUGUGUGUGUGUGUGUGUGUGUGUGUGUGUGUGUGUGUGUGUGUGUGUGUGUGUGUGUGUGUGUGUGUGUGUGUGUGUGUGUGUGUGUGUGUGUGUGUGUGUUCUGGCUCCCCUCAGUACUCCUGUCUUUGGUGGGAGCCAGGGAGGCAGCUGCCUGCUUACCCAGCCAACACAUCCCUCAGCCAGGCCCAGCGGCACUGCUGGGCACCCCCCUCCUGGAGCUGGUCUGGGGACCGCCUUAGCCUGGAACUCCCUGC